AUGGCACAUAGCUUGAUCUUGAUAGUCUCCCUGGGCAACAGCCUGGGGCAUUCCAAAGGAGAGGAGAGUGUGUCAUGGGAGUACAUCUUAGAGCUGCUAGAAAAAAUGGGCUUUCCGGCAUGUUGGAGGGACUGGGUUGCACUGCUACUUUCAACCUCGUCAUCUGCCUGCCUCCUCAAUGGCGUUCCUGGCCACCCCAUCGAGCAUCGACGCGGCUUGCGGCAGGGAGACCCACUCUCCCCCUCCUGUUCAUCCUCUGCAUCGAUCCAUUGCAUAGACUGUUAG
rnacentral:rRNA from 1 species